UACGUAGGGUGCAAGCGUUAAUCGGAAUUACUGGGCGUAAAGCGUGCGCAGGCGGUUUUGUAAGUCAGGUGUGAAAUCCCCGGGCUUAACCUGGGAAUGGCAUUUGGGACUGCAAGGCUUGAGUGCGGCAGAGGAGACUGGAAUUCCUGGUGUAGCAGUGAAAUGCGUAGAUAUCAGGAGGAAUACCGAUGGCGAAGGCAGGUCUCUGGGCUGACACUGACGCUCAUGCACGAAAGCGUGGGGAGCAAACAGG
rnacentral:rRNA from 1 species